UGACGUGGGUUGUCCCUUUGUAAUAAAAGUUUACACUCCUGUGAAUUUAGGAUUUAAAAAAUUCGGCUUAUAAUAACAUUUUCUUAUUACAUUUAAAUUUAAUUUUACUGUUCACUCAGUGAUAGGAAGGAUCUAGCCCAAUUCAUGUACAGCACACGCAAGUGUACAAGCAGGGAUUGGAGGCACAAAGAAAAUUGAAGACUGUAUUUUUUCACAACAGUUGCCAAAAACAAGUGAUUUUUUUGUGGAAUUUUUCUUAAACGUUUAUUUUUGUUUUAGAUAUAUAUGUACAUGUUUUGUUUUAUAUUUUUAUAUAUAUCUUUUAAAAUCAAUAUAUUUUCAGUUUUUAUAAA